GAGGCACCGAAGCAGCGCUCACGCUCAAUGGGCUUGGCCGAGCAGACGGGGAAGAGCAGCGCUGAAUGCAAAACAUAACAAAACACACAGAUACCAAGACAAUGGGAGUAGAAGCGCUGCUGGGUCUUUAUGGAUCUUCAAGCUCCAGAGGAUUGUGCCUGAUGAAAGAUGUGGCAAAACUUAGUCCUACCCAUCGAGGGGUUCUACAGUUUAUUCUCCGAACGUGGAACGCUAUGCAGACAUCCUUUUGAGAGAGAGAGCAGUGGGAAAAGAAGAGCUCUUAUUUAACCUUGACACGUGCUGUUCUUCCAUGUGAUGCUCAUAGGACGGAGCGUUCACAAACAACUCACUCCGAUUACACUUGUGGACACACUGCAAUGCAGUCAAUGAAACCCCAGCUGGCCGGAAGUGACUGUGUGUGUGUGUGUGUGUGUGUGUGUUUGUGUUUGAGAGCAGCAGUGCAUUAUAGAGAAAACUAACCAAAGUAGUGCAGGGGUCCAUAUAUAAAUGCAACUUAGAUUCACUUACCAUAUCGAUUGCUUUGCAAGGCAGACACUUGUCAUAAAGGCAAUAACUUCCCUUCCCACAGUCUCCAUCAGCGAUGCAUCCCUGAAGACAAGAGAGAGGAAGGAUUACAUCUAACGCCGUGGUUUGAUCCGUUAUCAUGUGAAGUAAGAAUGGCAUUGUUUAUUUUUUAAGACCAUGAGUGAGUUCCUGAUGAUACCUACAUGUAAAAACAAUGCAUUUUUAUUUGGAAAAUGUGCCAAACAAAUGUUGAUAUAUAUCAAUCUGCAUAUCAUUUGACCCUACAUCGGAUUUAAACCCCAAGGUAGAGAAACUUUCUGGAUUUAAUACAGAUUCACGUCACAGUAUUUUGUCCAGAGUGCAAAAUGAAGAAUUAAAUAAAUUAAAGUUUUAGGUUGCAUUAGGGAUCCACCGAUACCGAUACUGGAUCGGAUAUCGGGCUGAUACUGACUCAAAUAGCUGGAUUGGGUAUCGGUGACAGUGGGGCCGAUCUAUUCAAUUCAACUCUAUAUGUAAAUACUUUAUACAUUAUAUACUGCAAUUUGAAUUCCUAUUUAAGUUUUAAACCAAUUUGUUGCUGCAUUAAAAAGGUUUAUAUUUGAAUUGUAAUUCCUGUUAAUAUAAAAAAAAUGUUUUACCAAGUUGCUGGUGAACGAUUUAUUAUUUCAAUAAUACAUAAUAAUUCAGAAGAUUUAUAUCUAUUUAUUUGUUACAUUUUCUUUUACAAAGUUAGGAAAGCAAUGUUUAAGUCACGCCUGAUGUUGCUUUACA